AUUGAACGCUGGCGGAAUGCUUUACACAUGCAAGUCGAACGGCAGCACGGGGGCAACCCUGGUGGCGAGUGGCGAACGGGUGAGUAAUACAUCGGAACGUGCCCAGUCGUGGGGGAUAACGUAGCGAAAGUUACGCUAAUACCGCAUACGAUCUACGGAUGAAAGCGGGGGACCGUAAGGCCUCGCGCGAUUGGAGCGGCCGAUGUCAGAUUAGGUAGUUGGUGAGGUAAAGGAUCACCAAGCCGACGAACUGUAGCUGGUCUGAGAAGACGACGAGCCACACUGGGGCUGAUGCAAGGCCCAGACUCCCACGGGAGGAAGCAGUGGGGAAUUUUGGACAAUGGGCGAAAGCCUGAUCCAGCCAUUCCGCGUGCAGGACGAAGGCGUUCGGGUUGUAAACUGCUUUUGUACGGAACGAAAAGGCUCUGGUUAAUACCUGGGGCUCAUGACGGUACCGUAAGAAUAAGCACCGGCUAACUACGUGCCAGCCGCCGCCGUAA
rnacentral:rRNA from 1 species